UGAAAGAGAGCAACCAACCCCUAAAACCUGGGUUGGUGCAGCCUUGUCUCUCCCAUGUGUGACAUGGACGGCACUUCAAACAGUCCCCAGCUUCCAGCAGUGGGAAGGAUGCACCAUCUGCAGUCCCAAGACAAGCACAGGAGCUUUGGGCACUCAGAUUCAAGACUUCAAGGGAAAGUCUAAGAAUUAAAGGAGAGGAAGGACUCCUG